GAUAAACGCUAGCGGCAGGCCUAACACAUGCAAGUCGAGGGGCAUCGGAUAGAGUACUUCGGUACUCUUGCCGGCGACCGGCGGACGGGUGCGUAACGCGUAUGCAACCUACCUUCAACAGGGGGAUAGCCUUUCGAAAGAAAGAUUAAUACCCGAUGGUAUAAUCAGACCGCAUGGUCUUGUUAUUAAAGAAUUUCGGUUAUCGAUGGGGAUGCGUUCCAUUAGGCAGUUGGUGAGGUAACGGCUCACCAAACCUUCGAUGGAUAGGGGUUCUGAGAGGAAGGUCCCCCACAUUGGAACUGAGACACGGUCCAA
rnacentral:rRNA from 1 species